GUUUCCCACGCGUCCUGGAAAUCCUGGAAUAUUAAUGACCAAUUUUCCAGUCCCGUAAAACACAUGGAAAAUGAGAGAAAACCUAGAUUGUCCUGGAAAAAAUAUUGUUGUCCUGGAAAUUUUUUUUUUUUUUUUUAAUUGAUAAUUAAAGAAUUGGCCGACAACUGGUUGAAACAAUUAACGUAACAGAAAGGGCUCUGUUCAGAGAUGCUGAGUGUUGACAUGUGAGCUCACUCUGUUUAAGCUCCCUGUGAAGUAUGACGCGGUCUCAUGUUGCCGGUUUUCAGGUGCUAGAAAUUAAGUGGUCGAAUGUUUGCAGCAAAUGUUCACUGGUAUGCAGGUAAUAUUUAAUUAAAUGUUAAUUUUAUAUUUUUUGAUACACAUGUGCAAGGGUUCUGCACGGCGAAUUGCAGCAUGCGUGACGGCAUUUGCCUAAGAAAAGGUUUUCGAUUUGUUAAGUCUAUUUUAUUUAGAAUCGCUGGAACGUCUUGCAUCCCCAUGACAAAUCAGACCCAAACUUCCCAAACCUGUUUUAUGAACGAUAUAGGAAGUGAAAAUGAGAUGCUGACGCAAGGCACAGCGAUAAUUGCAUGUUCAUAGUGCAGCACAGACUUGUUAACAUGAGGCGGAGGCCGGUAGUAUAUAAUAGUACUUAUAUAAACGUAAUAAAGGCACGUUUGCUAUUGUACUAUUGUCUGUUUGCUCUGUUUCACCAACCUAGUAGUUCCAAACAGACGUUUCUCUUAGCAACAUACUCGGACCAUAGACCGUAUAAAAACCAUGAUAAAAACAGUGUCGGACGCAUGACGCUAGAGGGCUGCCGUUGCCAGCAGUGAGUCUGAGCCAAUCACAAAGUUCGAAACGACUGACGCACAUACGUCAUGUAGCCUACUUGCAGGCCUACGUGACGCGCGAGUCGUGAAUCAACCUAUGGAAUCAACUGAUGUUGUGUCUAAAUGAACUCCCUACGUGAUUUCCCAAGAUUGUCACGCUGCGAAAUGUAUGAAGAAAUGUCAGUAGAAAGAAACUGGACGGACACCGAGACGAGGGCGCUGCUGUACAUCCGACAGGACGAAGACAUUAAUAGACAAAUCAGCGGAACGGUUCGCGACUCUCUUAUUUACGCUGAAAUAUCAAGGCUUCUCCGCGCGCAAGGGAUCCACAGAACCAAGCGGCAGGUCACCACCAAACUGAAAACACUCAAGCAGAAGUUCCUGAAAAUACACGCGCAUCACAAAAACAACGGCCACGGCAGAGUGUACUGGAAUUAUUAUGACCUCUGCAAGUCCAUCUGGGGCAGCAACCGCCCCGCAGACGCUUUAACACUUGAUAGAAACGUGAAGCUCGAAGAGCCGCAGAGUACGUCCAUCGACGACGCGCGGAAUGAGCGCAGAUCCACGGACAUCGAGGAGGUGUCUGUCAGUCACGACGAGGAGACGGAUGACAUGACAGACGUGGUCGCUCAACCUGUGAGGAAGAAGGCCAAAAAAUGUUCCGUUACCGACUCUGUGAGAGCUCAAGAACCUCUCCACAUGCAAAACCAGAGGGAGUACGAGGAACGAUUGCGAAGGGAAGCCAGAGAGGAACAGAAGGAGGACCGGACGAGUCUGAUGGCCAUGUGGAAGGAGAUGAUGGAGUUUCAAGGGAACCUCUUAAAGGAGUUCAUACACCGCCCAUCUCUGCCUUCACAUCCAUCGUACCACAGAUAUGCUCUUCACAACCAAGUACACUCUAGUUUUCCAAGCACUAGCUACAUGCCACCGUACGACUCUCCAGGAGCUGAAACUGAGAAUGAAAGUGCAAUCUCACAUGAAGAAGAAGAAGAAGAGGAGGAGGAGGAAGAGAAAUAUGUUAUUCCAGCUGAGAUUGCACCUGUUAACCGUGGAAACGACAGCCAAUCAAACACCGCAGAGACUGUUUCCCCCCCGCCUACCCAAUCAGCAGGAAAGAGCGAUCUGGAGAUGUCUGUGCUACGCAGACAGGAAAGAGUCUUACAGCUUCAGGAAGAGUACUAUUCACUCAAAAUCAACUAUCUGAAACACAAGAUGGCCAAGGAUCCAUGACGGCAUGCUAAAGAGGAGUCUUUCAAGGUGUGAAAACUUGCAAAUGUAGAUGUUCUCAGCUGAACUGUGGAACCUAUUCGUGUGUAUUUGUCUGCGCACCUGAUAUUCCUUGUGAAUCUUAUUACAUAUUUUGACCAGAAGAUGGCAAGGUGGUUACUUCAAAUUUCCUGCUGUCAUCAUUAGACAUGUGCAAGACAGAUUUCAUUUUUAUUGCAAUUUACUAGCAGUUGUCUUUGAGGCAAUAUUUAGCAAAAUUGUCUCCAUUUUCUCAACUAAAUGUUACUGGUCUUUAUUAUAAAUGGUUCAUUAGUUUAUUUAAAGCUGCAGUUGGUAACUUUUGACGCUCUAGCGGUUAAUAAACAGAACUGCUUGCGUCUUGCGGAAGAACAUCGUAGCCAGAACUACUUCUCUCUGUUUAUGUCAAUGAAGAAGUUACACUUCUGAUGUGGACUAUGUCUGUUACUAUUAUUUUUCAUUAAAUUAAUGAAAACCAGCGAGGAGUCAGAAAUGUAGUAUUAAAAAUACUAAAUCAAAAGCAAAACUCUUUUCAAAGAAUUGUUUAAAGCAGGGGAUUCCCAAACUCUUUUGUCAGUCGAACCCCCUUUGAACUAAAAUAUUUUCUUGAGAUUUUAAUUUAUUUUAAGAUUGUUUGUUCACAGUUCUGUGAUGUCAGUUAGUGGUCACAGUGCAUGCAGGUAAACAAAUAACAUAUAUAUAUAUAUAUAUAUUUUUUUUUAAGGCAUCUUAUUUAAUUGUUUUAAUAAAUAUUGGCUUUACAUUAUCUCACAACCCUCUGCAGUUAUUUUGCGUUUAAAGGAACAAUUCAUCUGAAUACAAAAAAAAAAAAAAAGACAAAUCUGUUGUUCUGAACCCUUAUGCUGUUAUUUGUUCUGUAAACCGCUCUUCCAACUUCUGUCAAGCUUUAAAAGGGACCAAAAGCACACAAGUCCUUUGGAGUAUUUUGUGUUCCCUUAUGUCUGUCAAACUCUAAAAAGGCCUUUUCUGAGCUUGACAGCCCCGGAUCACUGUGAACUGUCAGUGUGUGGCAAGAGCUGUGAAACGGUUCUUCCAAAAUGUCUACAUCGGUGUUUCACAGAAAAUAAAAAAAAGCAUACAGGUUUGGAAUAACGUGUAAAUAAUGACAGAAUUUCCAUUCUAUGGGUUAUGCUAUAGCUCCAAAAGUUCCAGCUAUAUAGUUUUUUUUUUUAUCCUUUAGUGUUCUUUUCUGUUUAUUAUCACUCUCUUUCUCUUGUAUUUCCACUUCCAUCUCUGUUGUUCCCAGUCUCCGUCCUGCUAUUACUUCUCACAUGAAGACAUUAUUUAUACGACAGAUGUGUUUUUUGUUCAGUGUUUUUGUUUUAAAAUAAUGUGUGAUGCCAAAUUGGCUGGGGUUUUCACUUUCUUCCUUGUUGAUUGAUCAUCUUUUGUGAUGAAAGUGUAUAGAUCUGAACAUGAAGGUAAAAAAAAAAAAAAAAACUGGAUUUCCAAUUAUAAGGAAUGUUUUGGAUAAAUCAAAAUAUAGAGCUUAUAUCUAUAACAUGCUGUUGAUUAUAUAAACAAAUAUACAUUAAAUAAAAUGUAUUUGAAGCAGAUGCUUUUAUUCAAAGCAACUUAUAUUGCAUUUAAUCAUGCAUUUAAUAAAAAUGCACAUUUUAUCAAGUUAAUGCGAAGAAUUGAACCGAUGAUCUCCGUUGUUGAUGCUCGCUCUACUGUUUGGGUUAUAGGAAUGGAGCUAAUCAUUCUGAAUUGUCCUUAAAUUUGUAAAAACAAGCUACAUUUGGUCAGUAAUGCAUUACCAGUAGUAUAUACAGUAUAUAUGUUUAAAGAAUUAAUGUAAGUACUUUAAAAACUAAAAUAUGAGCUGCAUAUUUCAUCCUUUUGUGCCCAAAAAAAGUUUAUUUAUCAGCAUCUGUGGUUCCUUGGAGAACUUUUUGCAUCCAUGGAACCUUUGCAUUGCACAAAAGGAAAAAGGUUCUUUAGAUUUUUAAAUUGUCCUUUACACUAUGAAAAAAAAGAGGUUCUUUUAAUAACUGUUCACUGAAAUGUUCUUGGGGAACCCGAAAAUAGUUUUCUGUAAUCACUGUUAAAAGCCCUUUGGAAGCUUUAUUUGUAAGAGUGCACCGGUUUAUUCACUCCAUAAUAUACAUAAAUUGUAAAUAUGCUGUACACUUUUUCCUUUAACAGAUUAGAUGACAUUUGUCUGUGGUAAUCAAUUAAAUGCCACAAAUGGCAUUCACAGAUAAGUUUUAUUGAACUUUUACAAUUGAAAAGUCUGUUGGAAGCAUUACGUCUGCAGCAGAAAGCACAUAUUGUAUCCUUAAAGUAUUUGUCAGGGCUUCAUAAAACACAGCAUAUCCAAGGGGCUUUUUGAUAAAGCCAAAUGUUCUAUGAAAUGACACCCCUGUGAAAGCAGAAAGUAAUUAAUAAAUAACUGGAAUAAAUAUAUAAGAACCUCACAAGAGUUCUCCUGUGGUUUUUAAGUGAGAGGCUGAUGAGAAAUGCCACACAUAAUGGGCAUGAUUUUCUGUGAAGCAGCUGCUCUCAGGGUCUUGCUGAGUGGGACUACACUUAACACUUCCCUCCUGGGUGAAAUGUCGACCUCGGACUCAGAGAGAUGACUGUUACCAAGUGCUGCAGUCAAAAUGAAAACACUGAGACUCUUCAGAUCCUUUAGAGUCAGGGUAGACUCUGGAUGUUCUGCACAGUUAAACCCAAAUCUCGUUGAUAUUCUUUUAGAAAAAUACAUUCAUAGGCUUCUGUACUCAGAGUGAUUUCAGCUUUGUGGAGUUAUUGUGAAUUUAUGCCUCGUUUAAAGGAAAUUCCCAGGCAAACACUUGAAAGUAAACGCUUACAUUGUGGGAAUGCAUAUUC
ensembl:lncRNA